UGAACGCUGGCGGCGUGCCUAACACAUGCAAGUCGAACGAAGCACCUAACUUUGAAUCCUUCGGGUUGAAGAGUUUUGUGACUGAGUGGCGGACGGGUGAGUAACGCGUGGGUAACCUGCCUCAUACAGGGGGAUAACAGUUAGAAAUGACUGCUAAUACCGCAUAAGCGCACAGCAUCGCAUGGUGCAGUGUGAAAAACUCCGGUGGUAUGAGAUGGACCCGCGUCUGAUUAGCUAGUUGGCGAGGUAACAGCUCACCAAGGCGACGAUCAGUAGCCGGCCUGAGAGGGUGAACGGCCACAUUGGGACUGAGACACGGCCCAAACUCCUACGGGAGGCAGCAGUGGGGAAUAUUGCACAAUGGGGGAAACCCUGAUGCAGCGACGCCGCGUGAGCGAAGAAGUAUUUCGGUAUGUAAAGCUCUAUCAGCAGGGAAGAAAAUGACGGUACCUGACUAAGAAGCCCCGGCUAACUACGUG
rnacentral:rRNA from 1 species